AUUGAACGCUGGCGGCAUGCUUUACACAUGCAAGUCGAGCGGUAACAGGCCUUCGGGUGCUGACGAGUGGAGCACGGGUGUGUAAUGCAUCGGAACGUACCCAGAGGGGGGGGGUAACGCAGCGAAAGCUGUGCUAAUACCGCAGGUGAUCUGAGGAUGAAAGCGGGGGACCGAGCAGCAAUGUUUACCCUCGCGCCUUUGGAGCGGCCGAUGUCGGAUUAGCUAGUUGGUGGGGUAAAGGCCGACCAAGGCGACGCUCCGUAGCUGGUCUGAGAGGACGACCAGCAGCACUGGGACUGAGACACGGCCCAGACUCCUAGGGGCGGCAGCAGGGGGGAAAUUUGGACAAUGGGCGCAAGCGUGAUACAUCAAUGCCGCGUGCGGGCAGAAGGCCUGCGGGGUGGAAACCGCUUUUGGCAGGAACGAAACGGUGUCCGCUAAUAGCGGGCGAUAAUGACGGGACCUGCAGAAUAAGCACCGGCUAAAUACGUG
rnacentral:rRNA from 1 species